CUCUUUCUGUAGACUCAAUAACAACGUUAUUGCCCACACACGUGUUGUGAGCUCCCCAGCCAGGGCCAGAAGUGUAAAUUUGGACUGGUGAAGUUCUGGAAAAGGGAAACUAAAGUGAUCACAAGGAUUCUGAGUGCAAAGAGAACUAGGGAAGAUGACCAGCAAACAAUUCAAGAAGGAGCUCAAAGAGUAAAACUCUUCAACCUGGAAAGGCAAAACCAGACAAUGCUAACCAGAUUAAAAUCUUAAAAAUAUAAAAAAGUGAUGACUGAUGUAACUAAAACAAGCACAGAUUAAACUUUCAAAAUCUGAAA